rnacentral:rRNA from 1 species
UACGUAGGGGGCAAGCGUUGUCCGGAUUUAUUGGGCGUAAAGAGCGUGUAGGCGGCCAGAUAGGUCCGUUGUGAAAACUCGAGGCUCAACCUCGAGACGCCGAUGGAAACCAUUUGGCUAGAGUCCGGAAGAGGAGAGUGGAAUUCCCGGUGUAGCGGUGAAAUGCGCAGAUAUCAGGAAGAACACCUAUGGCGAAGGCAGCUCUCUGGGACGGUACUGACGCUGAGACGCGAAAGCGUGGGGAGCGAACAGG